rnacentral:rRNA from 1 species
GCUCAGGACGAACGCGGGCGGCGUGCUUAACACAUGCAAGUCGAGCGGUAAGGCUCCUUCGGGAGUACACGAGCGGCGAACGGGUGAGUAACACGUGAGCAAUCUGCCCUUCACUUCGGGAUAACUCCGGGAAACCGGUGCUAAUACCGAAUACGACCACUUCAGGCAUCUGAUGGUGGUGGAAAGUUCCGGCGGUGAAGGAUGAGCUCGCGGCCUAUCAGCUUGUUGGUGGGGUAACGGCCCACCAAGGCAACGACGGGUAGCCGGCCUGAGAGGGUGACCGGCCACACUGGGACUGAGACACGGCCCAGACUCCUACGGGAGGCAGCAGUGGGGAAUAUUGGACAAUGGGCGAAAGCCUGAUCCAGCAACGCCGCGUGAGGGAUGACUGCCUUCGGGUUGUAAACCUCUUUCAGCAGGGACGAAGCGCAAGUGACGGUACCUGCAGAAGAAGCACCGGCCAACUACGUGCCAGCAGCCGCGGUAAUACGUAGGGUGCGAGCGUUGUCCGGAAUUAUUGGGCGUAAAGGGCUCGUAGGCGGUCUGUCGCGUCGGGAGUGAAAACUCAGGGCUUAACCCUGAGCCUGCUUCCGAUACGGGCAGACUAGAGGUAUGCAGGGGAGAACGGAAUUCCUGGUGUAGCGGUGGAAUGCGCAGAUAUCAGGAGGAACACCGGUGGCGAAGGCGGUUCUCUGGGCAUUACCUGACGCUGAGGAGCGAAAGUGUGGGGAGCGAACAGGAUUAGAUACCCUGGUAGUCCACACCGUAAACGUUGGGCGCUAGGUGUGGGACUCAUUCCACGAGUUCCGUGCCGCAGCUAACGCAUUAAGCGCCCCGCCUGGGGAGUACGGCCGCAAGGCUAAAACUUAAAG